rnacentral:rRNA from 1 species
AUUGAACGCUGGCGGCAUGCCUUACACAUGCAAGUCGAACGGCAGCACGGGAGCAAUCCUGGUGGCGAGUGGCGAACGGGUGAGUAAUAUAUCGGAACGUGCCCAGUCGUGGGGAUAACGUAGCGAAAGCUACGCUAAUACCGCAUACGAUCUAUGGAUGAAAGCGGGGGAUCGCAGACCUCGCGCGAUUGGAGCGGCCGAUAUCAGAUUAGGUAGUUGGUGAGGUAAAGGCUCACCAAGCCGACGAUCUGUAGCUGGUCUGAGAGGACGACCAGCCACACUGGGACUGAGACAGGCCCAGACUCCUACGGGAGGCAGCAGUGGGG